CAAAAAGAACGAGCAGCUGCGCAAAGAUAGACCCCCACCCUAAACGUUCUCUUCUUCUUCGACCAGCAAAACCCCACCCCAAAACAACCCUCCAUUCCCCGUCUCCCCGCCAGCGGCGACUCGCCGGAACACAUAGACGAGGACCCUCAUCCCAGCGAGAAACACACACACAUACAAAAACCAAAAAACGGACACAAACCAGCCGACCACCCCCUCUAAACCUCCAUUAGAGAACCUCCAAAAUACCAUGUAAAAACUCAUGAAACCAGCUUUAAAAUCAGCUCAGCUGUAGACCCCAAAACACACCAAGUUUCAAUUCCAGUCAGCUUUUUGAGCUUCGGUUUCUCCAGGUCGAUGUAGAGUUCGGGUUCGUCGGUGCGAUUUGAGUUUUCUCCGACGCAGCUCGACCAGCCUGUCGUCUACCGAGGUUCUAGUUGCGUUCCUGUUGUUUGUGAGCUUCAAAACGUCCCAAGCAUCUGAAGUGUAAAAUCAGUUGGAGUUGUCAUCCAAGUUCGAGGUUCACGACAGAGUUCUCCUAUUGCCAUUUCGGUCUUGUGUUCGAGUUUGUUGCUGGAUUGUCUUGUAAUCACUUUCAGCAAAUUAAUUGUGAAAUAUUUCCAGGUUCAUGGUGAUCUCUGUCGAGUCAAUAGUUACAUGUGAGCUAAUUCAAGCAAUUUAUGAGACACUCAUAGUUGAUAAAAUUUUUGUUUGAAAUCAUUGUUAAUGGAAGAGAUAUUAGCUGGGACUCGUUUACACGGAAAGCUAAAGAGGCUUAAUUAAUCCCUUCAUGAAGUAGUUGUUCUCACCUAUCACUUUAAUUUUAUGUAAAGGGUAUGCAUCUGGAAUUGUGAUUCACAUACGAUGGCUUGAGUUGUACGGAGCAGGGGUGUGAAUUUUGUUGAAGUGUGAUUCGCAAUACACGUCUGUGCUAAGCUUCUUUCUCUUGGAUUAUUAAAUUACCACUUCAUUGGAAAAUUAAUAUUGUUAUAUGUUGAGUGGAUCGAAUUAGUUGUGUCAUAGGCAUUUAACAUUAUCCAUUUCACGAGCACAUGUGCUCAUUUACAAUGUUGAAGAGAAUUUAUCAUUCUGUGCAUCAGAAUUUUUUUUUGGAUA